UAAAUUUAUCAAAGCUGCAAUGUGCCUUGUUUACUAGGUUUCUUUGUUUUUUUUUUGUUUUUUAAGUAAAUUUGUAGUUGCAAUUUUGUAUUGUUAUUCGUUCGAAACAUAACUAAUGAAUCCAUUGAGUUCAAGUUAUAAAAAUGAAAAAAGGAAUUCGUUCCAUUCAUUGUCCUUUCGAAGAAAAUCAUCAACGUCGACCACACCAUUCACGUCACAGAAAUAGCAGUCAAGUCGAGAUGAUACUGCUGCUACCGAUACUGGUGCCUCUGUUUCAACACCAGAAGCAUCAGCAGCAUAACCUCUACACUAACAUCAAGUCAAUAAUCAUUCGUGGAGGACAGUAUCAAUAAUUCAAUGAGCUCUGAAAAACGCAAAGAAGAAUGAUUCCCACAGAUUCAAGGAACGCAUGGGAAUACACUUUUUGAUGCUUUUCAAACUUAAAUGGAAUAAUUUUUAUAGUGGUUAAGAAGAAGAAUAUUGUCAACUUUUCAUGAGUCUCGAAGAAUUCAAAGAGGAGACAAUAAACAAUUCGCAGCUCAGGAAAUUACUUUGGCUAAAAUAAUCAACGAUAAUAUAGCCAGCCAUCAAUUAGGAAAUAGGUGGUCCAAAAAGACGAAACCGAUAAUCUGAAAACUCCAUUGGCGAAAAGUCCACUGACACUAAACCACUUCUUAACUCCUUCUCCUUGACUGUUCUAGACAACGAAUGCAAAGAAUCAAUCCCACACCGGGUUUUGGCUGAAAAAAAGGUGCCUACGAUAUAAUCAUUACGCUACUCGAACAAGAAUUCUCUUCAUCCAAUCCAGAUAAAGAAAAUCUUUACAUAAUGUGUUUGUACAGCAAUCGUUGACCAAUCAACAACCGAAUCUCUACGACGAAGAAGUCCUGGCCAUUCCUUCAUUCUUUAUUUAAUAAGAUGUCUUAUUGUUGAUGCUCGGGUUUUUUCAUUCAACAAUAAAGUUUUCUUUAGAAACAUUUUGUUCAUGAAUCAUUGAGUUCAAUAAGUCAAAAUAAGUAAAUAUAGUGCAAAAAGAUAACAAAAGGUGUGUUUUUGAUUACGCCCGGGCAUUGGACAAAAACUAAACGAAUCGGUUAUCGCCGAUAGCAAUUUACAAGGUAAAUGCAACAACAAUGCAACUAAGCCCGAGGGUGUAAGGUGUUGUUGCAUUUAACAUUUUAAUUACUUAGCCUCGACUGGUUUUUCUUUUGUCCAACUUUUUGCUGAAGAAAAUUCUUUGGAAUGUCCGAAAAAUUACCAGACUUGUUGGAUACUUAAAUAUUAAGUUCUUUUUGUUUUGAUAUUUUUUAACAAAGAGGACCUAAUCCCUAUCUUUGAGAUAACAGAAUAACUCAUCAUGGAUUGUGGGUGUUUUUUGACCAAAAAUUUUGUCAGUUUGUAUGAUUUGGAAUACUGAUUUUACUAAAAGGAAAAAUAAGCUAAAAUUAUUUUUUUUAACAAUUUCCUAUUCUAUACUUUUACAAAUAAAUGCUUUUGGUCUACUCAAGUCAUAUCUAAUCAUCUAAAGUAUGAUUCUAGAAUUUCGAGAAGUUUGUGCAUCAAAGAUAGGCGAGCAUCAAGAUGUGGAGCUAAGCGCACAAAACUUAGAGUUUAGCUAGUAUGAGUAGGUCAAAACUCCAAAAAUGAUUCAUCAAUCGAUUCAACAUUCUUGUUAGGUAUAUUAUAUUAAGAAAAUACAUACCUGUUUUAUUUCCAAGAUUUGACUACAUAUAUUGGAUAUUUUACUUGCACAAAAUAAACAAAAAAUAAACUAUAAAAAAUAACACAUUUAUCGGAAUAUAAAUUUCGUUAAACGGUGCAGUCUAUUGAAACACUACAUAUUUUGGCGUCCUAAAAAGAAAAUUCCAGAAGCUGAGUAUCAUGCCUUCUAUAAACCUUUCCAGAUGCUACAUUUUGUACACCUGUAAAGCUUUAUAAGAAUAAAAUUGUUAUGAUGAUAAGAAGCUUUUAAUGAACUCUGUCGUGGAUUCCUAUAGGAUUAAAUGCUUCUCGACAUCGUUAUAGUGUGCUUAUAGAUAAUUUUCUCAUCACACCUAUAAUCCCACUAUAAGAUACUCCUAAAAAGUUUUUUAGAAGUAUAAAUAUCAGCGUUUACUGAUAAUUUUUUUACCGUGGGUAGUAUACCAGCCUUAUAGGUGCGAAUAGCCCUUUAGACUUGAAACC